GAUGAAGAACGUAGCGAAAUGCGAUAAGUAAUGCGAAUUGCAGAAUUCCGUGAGUCAUCGAAUCUUUGAACGCACAUUGCGCCCCUUGGUAUUCCGAGGGGCAUGCCUGUUCGAGCGUCAUUAUAACCCUCAAGCUCAGCUUGGUGUUGGGGCCUGCUGCAGUGGCAGCCCUUAAAAUCAGUGGCGGCGCCAUCUGGCUCUAAGCGUAGUAAUUCUUCUCGCUAUGGAGUCCUGGUGGAUGCUUGCCAUCAACCCCCAAUUUUUCUAUGGUUGACCUCGGAUCAGGUAGGGAUACCCGCUGAACUUAAGCAUAUCAAUAAGCGGAGGA
rnacentral:misc_RNA from 1 species